rnacentral:rRNA from 1 species
CAGCCGCCGCGGGAAUACGAAGGGUGCAAGCGUUACUCGGAAUUACUGGGCGUAAAGCGUGCGUAGGUGGUGGUUUAAGUCCGUUGUGAAAGCCCUGGGCUCAACCUGGGAAUGGCAAUGGAUACUGGCAAGCUAGAGUGUGUCAGAGGAUGGUGGAAUUCCCGGUGUAGCGGUGAAAUGCGUAGAGAUCGGGAGGAACAUCAGUGGCGAAGGCGGCCAUCUGGGACAACACUGACGCUGAGGCACGAAAGCGUGGGGAGCAAACAGGAUUAGAUACCCGGGUAGUCCCUGUCUCUUAUAC